rnacentral:rRNA from 1 species
UGACUGCUAUCGGAUUGAUACUAAGCCAUGCGAGUCAUUGUAGUAAUACAAGGCAGACGGCUCAGUAACGCGUAGUCAACCUAACCUAUGGACGGGAAUAACCUCGGGAAACUGAGUAUAAUGCCCGAUAGAACAUUAUGCCUGGAAUGGUUUAUGUUCCAAAUGAUUUAUCGCCGUAGGAUGGGACUGCGGCCUAUCAGUUUGUUGGUGAGGUAAUGGCCCACCAAGACUAUUACAGGUACGGGCUCUGAGAGGAGUAGCCCGGAGAUGGGUACUGAGACACGGACCCAGGCCCUAUGGGGCGCAGCAGGCGAGAAAACUUUGCAAUGUGCGAAAGCACGACAAGGUUAAUCCGAGUGGUUUCUGCUAAAGGAACCUUUUGUCGGUCCUAGAAACACCGAUGAAUAAGGGGUGGGCAAGUUCUGGUGUCAGCCGCCGCGGUAAAACCAGCACCUCAAGUGGUCAGGAUGAUUAUUGGGCCUAAAGCAUCCGUAGCCGGCUCUGUAAGUUUUCGGUUAAAUCUGUACGCUCAACGUACAGGCUGCCGGGAAUACUGCAGAGCUAGGGAGUGGGAGAGGUAGACGGUACUCGGUAGGAAGGGGUAAAAUCCUUUGAUCUAUUGAUGACCACCUGUGGCGAANGCGGUCUACCAGAACACGUCCGACGGUGAGGGAUGAAAGCUGGGGGAGCAAACCGGAUUAAGAUACCCGGGUAGUCCCAGCUGUAAACUAUGCAAACUCAGUGAUGCAUUGGCUUGUGGCCAAUGCAGUGCUGCAGGGAA